CAGCUCGGGCUCGGAGCCCCUCGCCGCGCUCGCGCAGGCGCGCCUGCAGCACCCGGCCUCCUCGGACAGCGACGUGCCACUCCGGGCGCACAGGAAAGGUAAAGGAGUGGGCAAAAAGACAAAGAUAGCGAACGGUCACGUGCCGACCGCGUCACCGGAGCCCGGGCCCGCGUAUGAGAGAGACACCUACAUACCGUCUCCCAAUGGAUUAUCAUCAUCGUCCACGGAGCAGAUAGAAGUGGAACAGUUGUCGAUACCGGCCGACGACGCGUCGUUAACUUACGACGACGAUUCACCCGCACAUGAACCUAGUCCAGAG